rnacentral:tRNA from 1 species
AGGAAAGGUGGCAGAGUGGUUGAAUGUUCCGGUUUUGAAAACCGGCAUAGCUCAAAACUAUCGGGGGUUCGAAUCCCCCCCUUUCCUU